CGUGAUGUCAGCUAAACGAGAAAUGUUGACUGGAUACUUCAUUACAAUUUUUAUAUAUAUACAUAUAUAGCGUUUGUAGAAAUACAUAAAUCCGGAGCAGAAAUAUACACAACUCCCUCGCACAUUUUAAAGCUAAUACAAAUAUAAUUUCAUUACUUUGAUAUUUAAAAAGAAAAUAUAACGACAGCAAUUUACAUUUUGGGGCAGUUUUCAUUUUAUAUUAUAUAUACUAAGAUAUUUCUGAUAGUUUUCAAAGAUAAACUUUUUUUUUUGCUAUAGUAACAAAAGUUUUGCUUCUUUUUAAAUACUCAUUGUGGAACAUCACUGAUUUCAAUGGAAAGGACAUACCUAAUGUUGUCGAGAACCAAACAGAAACUCAUACAAAUUUUCAUUUGAAUUCAUUUAGAAUUUACAAAUGUAAUUUGCAAACUAAAGAAGCUUCCCAAUCUUGAGCAGAAUUUGUAUGAUGCAUGAUGGCUCAAGAAUGAGUGUCUUCACUGGCUCUUAUAUCCAUCAAGAAACAGAUACUUGUCCAUUUAGCACAACACAAAGAAUUAUACCAUAAGUAUUGAAGACCGAGAACAAAGUAUUGAAAGCCAAUCUCAAGACACUGAGCCUUACAAAUGAGAUGACAGGGGACCAAGAUAUCUGGUGCUUUGCUGUAUUCAAGAAGACCUGUCUGCCACAGCAGAAGUGAUACUGGUGCUGGUGACAUAAUAAGCACCCAGUACACACAGUAGAGUGGUUAGCAUCCAGCCAUAGAAACCAUGCCACAAUAGAUUGGUGUGGCCUUACCAGCUCCAGUCAAACCAUCCAACCCAUGCCAGCAUGGACAACGGACAUUAAAUGAUGAUGAUGAUGAUCUUACAAGAAUUUGCAAAAAAACUCAAAGUACUCAGAAUUUAUGUUUAAAAAAGUAAGUGUGUAUUUCUCCAAAAAAAAUGAACAUAUUUUAACUUUUUCAUUUUAUAGGGUAGUGUCUAUUCUAUACAAAUGCUUUGCUGAAUUUGCUAUAUGAAAGCCUUUAAAAUGAUAUUACAAUAGAAAUUCAUGGAGAAUAAAAGAUAAAAUAUUG